GACGAACGCUGGCGGCGUGCUUAACACAUGCAAGUCGAACGAUUAAGCCCAGCUUGCUGGGUGGUAGAGUGGCGAACGGGUGAGUAACACGUGAGUAACCUGCCCUGAACUCUGGGAUAAGCACUGGAAACGGUGUCUAAUACUGGAUACGACCUAUCACCGCAUGGUGUGUGGGUGGAAAGAUUUAUCGGUUCUGGAUGGACUCGCGGCCUAUCAGCUAGAUGGUGAGGUAAUGGCUCACCAUGGCGACGACGGGUAGCCGGCCUGAGAGGGUGACCGGCCACACUGGGACUGAGACACGGCCCAGACUCCUACGGGAGGCAGCAGUGGGGAAUAUUGCACAAUGGGCGCAAGCCUGAUGCAGCAACGCCGCGUGAGGGAUGACGGCCUUCGGGUUGUAAACCUCUUUUAGUAGGGAAGAAGCGAAAGUGACGGUACCUGCAGAAAAAGCACCGGCUAGCUACGUG
rnacentral:rRNA from 1 species